rnacentral:rRNA from 1 species
AGAGUUUGAUCCUGGCUCAGGAUGAACGCUGACAGAAUGCUUAACACAUGCAAGUCAACUUGAACUUCGGUUUGGGUGGCGGACGGGUGAGUAACGCGUAAAGAACUUGCCUCACAGAUAGGGACAACAUUUGGAAACGAAUGCUAAUACCUGAUAUUAUGAUUUUAGGGCAUCCUAGAAUUAUGAAAGCUAUAUGCGCUGUGAGAGAGCUUUGCGUCCCAUUAGCUAGUUGGAGAGGUAACGGCUCACCAAGGCGAUGAUGGGUAGCCGGCCUGAGAGGGUGAACGGCCACAAGGGGACUGAGACACGGCCCUUACUCCUACGGGAGGCAGCAGUGGGGAAUAUUGGACAAUGGACCAAGAGUCUGAUCCAGCAAUUCUGUGUGCACGAUGAAGUUUUUCGGAAUGUAAAGUGCUUUCAGUUGGGAAGAAAAAAAUGACGGUACCAACAGAAGAAGUGACGGCUAAAUACGUGCCAGCAGCCGCGGUAAUACGUAUGUCACAAGCGUUAUCCGGAUUUAUUGGGCGUAAAGCGCGUCUAGGUGGUUAUGUAAGUCUGAUGUGAAAAUGCAGGGCUCAACUCUGUAUUGCGUUGGAAACUGUGUAACUAGAGUACUGGAGAGGUAAGCGGAACUACAAGUGUAGAGGUGAAAUUCGUAGAUAUUUGUAGGAAUGCCGAUGGGGAAGCCAGCUUACUGGACAGAUACUGACGCUAAAGCGCGAAAGCGUGGGUAGCAAACAGGAUUAGAUACCCUGGUAGUCCACGCCGUAAACGAUGAUUACUAGGUGUUGGGGGUCGAACCUCAGCGCCCAAGCAAACGCGAUAAGUAAUCCGCCUGGGGAGUACGUACGCAAGUAUGAAACUCAAAGGAAUUGACGGGGACCCGCACAAGCGGUGGAGCAUGUGGUUUAA